rnacentral:rRNA from 1 species
AGCGAACGCUGGCGGCAGGCCUAACACAUGCAAGUCGAACGAUCCUUCGGGAUAGUGGCGGACGGGUGAGUAACACGUGGGAACGUGCCCUUUGGUUCGGAACAACUCAGGGAAACUUGAGCUAAUACCGAAUGUGCCCUUCGGGGGAAAGAUUUAUCGCCAUUGGAGCGGCCCGCGUCUGAUUAGCUAGUUGGUGAGGUAAUGGCUCACCAAGGCGACGAUCAGUAGCUGGUCUGAGAGGAUGAUCAGCCACACUGGGACUGAGACACGGCCAGACUCCUACGGGAGGCAGCAGUGGGGAAUCUUGCGCAAUGGGCGAAAGCCUGACGCAGCCAUGCCGCGUGAAUGAUGAAGGUCUUAGGAUUGUAAAAUUCUUUCACCGGGGACGAUAAUGACGGUACCCGGAGAAGAAGCCCCGGCUAACUUCGUGCCAGCCGCCGCAGUAAUAC